rnacentral:rRNA from 1 species
UAGGGAAUCUUGCGCAAUGGGCGAAAGCCUGACGCAGCAACGCCGCGUGCGGGAUGACGGCCUUCGUGGUUGUAAACCGCUUUCAGCAGGGACGAAAUUGACGGUACCUGCAGAAGAAGCCCCGGCUAACUACGUGCCAGCAGCCGCGGUAAUACGUAGGGGGCAAGCGUUGUCCGGAAUCAUUGGGCGUAAAGAGCUCGUAGGCGGUUCAGUAAGUCGGGUGUGAAAGCUCCGAGCUCAACUCGGAGAGGCCACUCGAUACUGCUGUGACUAGAAUCCAGUAGGGGAGUGUGGAACUCCUGGUGUAGCGGUGAAAUGCGCAGAUAUCAGGAAGAACACCAGCGGCGAAGGCGGCACUCUGGGCUGGUAUUGACGCUGAGGAGCGAAAGUGUGGGUAGCA